CUUAUGGAACGUGACGUCAAAAUGACCAAACUAGGAAAAAAAACGCACUCCAUUUCCACAUUUUGGUUCUCUGUCGCUCUCUAGUGGACAUUUCUAUUACUUCAAAUGUACAGACGAUUGUUGCAUCUGUCUGUGGUGUUCAUUUUGAACAUAUCCUUCAAAAUGUACUUGCUCAAAAAAGUAGGAAAACCAAUUCAUUUCUUAGUUGAGGAAAAACUUUACAAGAAAUUCCGGUCCCGUUUUUCCGGUUGUGUCCGCAUUCUCAAAUACCGCCUUUAUGCACCAACAAUACGAGCGCAUUACUACGACGUCACAUUUGUCUCGAACCAUGAAAAAAGGGGUCGAUUGGUUGUUGUUUGUCACAUCACCAUAAAGACUGGAAGAUUCAACAAAAGGUAGAACCACAACAAUUUUCUGGGCUAAGCAUUUGAAUUUCCAAGCAAUUCAAUGUUGAAAUAAUUUAUUGGGCCUUCUGAUGGCACGGCUUACAUCCACACGACACAAUUCUACUGUACCUGUACUUUAAUUCGAGUUCUCUCGACUGCGUCCUUUCAAGCUUCAGGUAAUAACAGAUGACAAUGGCAUAACAUUUUAAAAGACAUUUCCAGUGCGGUUAAAUGUGCGAAUGAGCCUUUAAAGGAAAAAAAAAAUGCUGUUCUCUAUUCGCUAAUGUUAAGAAGGUGAGUGGAGAAUCUUGCAUGUUCCAGCUGGACCUGAA